UACGUAGGGGGCAAGCGUUGUUCGGAUUUACUGGGCGUAAAGGGCGCGUAGGCGGCAAAUUAAGUCAGCUGUGAAAUCUCCGAGCUUAACUCGGAACUGUCAGCUGAUACUGAUCUGCUAGAGUGCGGAAGGGGCAAUCGGAAUUCUUGGUGUAGCGGUGAAAUGCGUAGAUAUCAAGAGGAACACCUGAGGCGAAGGCGGGUUGCUAGGCUGACACUGACGCUGAGGCGCGAAAGCUAGGGUAGCAAACGGG
rnacentral:rRNA from 1 species